UUCCACAUGAUCGCAUGUGAUUGUGGGAAAGAUUCUAUCGGCGUGGGAUGGGGUCGCGUCCUAUCAGCUUGUUGGUGAGGUAACGGCUCACCAAGGCUUCGACGGGUAGCCGGCCUGAGAGGGCGACCGGCCACAUUGGGACUGAGAUACGGCCCAGACUCCUACGGGAGGCAGCAGUGGGGAAUAUUGCACAAUGGGCGCAAGCCUGAUGCAGCGACGCCGCGUGAGGGAUGGAGGCCUUCGGGUUGUAAACCUCUUUUGUUUGGGAGCAAGCCUUCGGGUGAGUGUACCUUUCGAAUAAGCGCCGGCUAACUACGUGCCAGCAGCCGCGGUAAUACGUAGGGCGCAAGCGUUAUCCGGAUUUAUUGGGCGUAAAGGGCUCGUAGGCGGCUCGUCGCGUCCGGUGUAAAAGUCCAUCGCUUAACGGUGGAUCUGCGCCGGGUACGGGCGGG
rnacentral:rRNA from 1 species